rnacentral:rRNA from 1 species
UGAAACUCAAAGGAAUUGACGGGGACCCGCACAAGUAGCGGAGCAUGUGGUUUAAUUCGAAGCAACGCGAAGAACCUUACCUAAGCUUGACAUCCCACUGACCUCUCCCUAAUCGGAGAUUUCCCUUCGGGGACAGUGGUGACAGGUGGUGCAUGGUUGUCGUCAGCUCGUGUCGUGAGAUGUUGGGUUAAGUCCCGCAACGAGCGCAACCCUUGCCUUUAGUUGCCAGCAUUAAGUUGGGCACUCUAGAGGGACUGCCGAGGAUAACUCGGAGGAAGGUGGGGAUGACGUCAAAUCAUCAUGCCCCUUAUGCUUAGGGCUACACACGUGCUACAAUGGGUGGUACAGAGGGUUGCCAAGCCGUGAGGUGGAGCUAAUCCCUUAAAGCCAUUCUCAGUUCGGAUUGUAGGCUGAAACUCGCCUACAUGAAGCUGGAGUUACUAGUAAUCGCAGAUCAGAAUGCUGCGGUGAAUGCGUUCCCGGGUCUUGUACACACCGCCCGUCACACCAUGGGAGUUGGGGGCGCCCGAAGCCGGUUAGCUAACCUUUUAGGAAGCGGCCGUCGAAGGUGAAACCAAUGACUGGGGUGAAGUCGUAACAAGGUAGCCGUAUCGGAAGGUGCGGCUGGAUCACCUCCUUUCUAAGGA